UGUCAACCAGGCCCCCUCCGCCCCCCCCCCGGGACCCAAGAGCCCGGGCCCGCCCCUGCCCGGCCCUGCCCUGCCCCCGCCCCGCACGGCCCCGCAGCCGGGCCGGAGGGUCGGCAAGGGAACCAGCUGCCAGCCGGGGGGUUGGAAGCUCCGCUCUGCAGCCAGUGGAGAAACCUGGGGCCGGCGCAGGAGCGGUGGAAGCUGCUGGGGCUGACGAAGAGAGAAGGCAAAGAUGCUGCUGGAGAGAAGCAAGAGCAGAGGCAGAGGCUGCAUACAGAACACACAGAAAGAAGACGGGGAGGGAAUGAGCCCGGCGGCAGCAAGAAGAAGGAAGCUCUCCACCGGUCCCGGCCGGGCCAGAAAAUGAGGCCCAAGCGAGCCCCGGAGGCCCGUGGUCCCAGCCGGGCAAUGCCAGGCCCCCCGAGGGCGGCCCCUUCGCCUCCUGGACCCUGAACCUCUCCAUCUCCACAGGUGCCCAGCAGGAGACCACUACCUGGGAUUGGGUGGGAGAGCCAGCGGAACUGGGGUUUUGGAUCCUCACCUCCCGGGCCUGUCCUGCAAAGGAUGACCAGACUACCUGCCUGUUGUCCCUUGGAGGAGCCUGAGGCUGGUGUUCAGAGGAGCAUGGGUCGAGAGGGUGCUGGGGAGGGGGAGAGAGGCCUGGAAAGGGGUCCCAGCUGUUGCCGAGGCCCUUUAAACUAUUUUUUAUUUAUUUAUGUUCAUUCAUUCAUUCAAUAGUAUUUAUUGAGUGCUUACUAUGUGCAGAGCACUGUACUAAACGCUUGGAAUCUACAAAUUGGUAACAGAUAGAGACAGUCCCUGCCCUUUGACGGGCUUACAGUCUAAUCGGGGGAGACGGACAGACAAGAACAAUAGCAAUAAAUUGAAUCAAGAUAGCAAUAAAUUUGUAAAGUGCUUACUAUAUGCCCGGCACAGUUCUAAGCACUGGGGUAGGUACAAGCUAAUUGGGUUGCACACAGUCCCUGUCUCCCAUGGGG
rnacentral:lncRNA from 1 species